rnacentral:lncRNA from 10 species
CGGCUGGGCAGGUCUGGGGGUAUCCGGUUCCGGAGACAGGCGCCCCUGUGAACACUGCCUCCCUGUUCCCCACUGGCUCUAUUUUUCUUAAUGCGAAAGUGCGCUGGUGGAGCCCUCGCGUAAUUAGGAAUUGAAAUUUAAGUAGCUACAUGAGACUAGUGGCUACUAUAUUGAACAAUGCAAGUCCUUAAUAUAAGGAUGAGAAAAACACCUGCCCCCUCGUCCUGGGAUGAGAAGGACCCCUAAUGUGUGCAUAGAGCUUGGCAGAUGAGAGAUGCUCACUGCUUCUUCACUUCCUUCUCCUCUCCUGACUCCUCCAAAUGAGAUGAGUGUCUUUGAGUGGAAGAAUUUCCCUUUAGAGACAUUCAACUCCCCUGUGGACACUGGCUGGAGAAGUGGAUGAGUGGUAGGGGGAGAGACCCUGGGAGCUUCUGUGAUGGACAGGCUCGGAGAGCAGAGGACAAGGCCAGCUCAGAGAAGGACAAAAAUGACUGCAUCUGCCAAAUCCCACCUCUAUUUUUGGUGUUUACAGGCACUAGUGCUGGAAAGGGGCCCAUCUUCGAAAUUCCUUUUCUUUGCAUAGAGUGGUUAAGAUCAUGGGCUCUAGAAUCAGAUGGUUCUAGGUUAGUGUUUCAGUUCCAUUAGUUACCAGCUGUGAGACCUUGGGCAGGUUGCCAGCUUCUCUGCUACUCAUCUGUAAAAGAAGCAGAAUAAUGUCUACAUCUGAGGAUUUUGUGAGUAAUCAAUGAGCUAAUAUGUGCAAAGCUCUUUACAGGAGACCCGGCAGAUAUCAAGUGCUUAAAAAACAGAUGCCACGGCCAAUCUUAUGUAAACAGAGCCUCUUAACGUCCACGCCCAUGCAGACCAGAGUCCAGUGAGAUGUCUGCAAAGCCCAUGAUUCCACAUCUCCAGACAAUCUCUUUUUUGGUGGUCUUCAGAGUGAGGCAGUGACCACACACAGAAACAAGUCCUGGUAUCCUCAGACGGCAGCUGACCCAUCAAAUUUGACACUUGGAAGCCAUCCUGAAGUUUCUAGUGCUUGGAUCUCCUUUCCAUUGCCCUUGCCAAAUGGAAAUCUCCUAGGACUCAUCCAGAGGCAGGAGCUCUGAGGCCUGGGGGCUCAGGGAUGGCUGCCUCUCUGCGACUUCUCACCCCUGGUCCUGGUGGAGUCUCCACUUUCCAGACUCAUUUUCCCUUCAUUGUUUCCCCAGGCUGGAGGCGUCUGCAGAUCAGCCCUGGUCAAAAUGCCCAGCACAGGAGCUGGCUUCCAUAGGUCAGGGGCAGAGUAAUCUUUGCUGAACUGGAAGAGCUAAAACUCAAAAACUAACACCUGUCCCUGGUUAAUAGCCAAGGAUGACUUUCAUCAGUGUGUCUUAUUUUGUGGGCAAAGAAACUGGGUGAUUGGUUCAUCCAUCUGCUCAUCCACUUCCUCACUGGACAAUAGUUACUAAGCACCUACUGUGUGCCAAGUCCUAGGAACACAAAAAUGGAUUCCUGUCCUUAAACUUCACAAGUUGGUGGGGGAGACAGCUAUACUGAAAUUAAUUGUAACAGUGUGAUAUGGGCUAUUAGGUCAGGACUAGGAUGAGAAGAGGUGAAUAAGACACUUACCUCAGGGUCAAAUUCAGUGUGGUGCCAAAAUCCAAAAUCUCAGUAAACAAGAUAAAUAAUAUUUUAAUACCGUUUUUUUUUUUUUGAGACGGAGUUUCACUCUUGUGCCCCAGGCUGGAGUGCGAUGGUGCAAUCUCGGCUCACUGCAACCUCCGCCUCCCAGGUUCAAGCGAUUCUUCUGCCUUGGCCUCCCAAGGAGCUGGGAUUAUAUGCGCGCGCCACCACAUCUGGCUAAUUUUUUGUAUUUUUGGUAGAGACGGGGUUUCACCAUGUUGGACAGGCUGGUCUCAAACUCCUGACCUCAGGUUAUCCACCCCGCUCAGCCUCCCAAAGUGCUGGGAUUAUAGGCAUGAGCCACCGCGCCCAGCCGAGAUCAAACUUUUAAAUGAAGACAGGAUCAGUGUUAUUAAUUUUUCCUUUUGCUUCAGGCUCCAACAUGGCUUGGCAUGGCACUGUAUUAUGAGGGCUGUAUGGGGGUGUGGCUGCUGUGAGACAGAAAAGACAUCUGAUCCAGUCAGUGAUGUGCUGGAAUUGGCCCAGACCAGCUGGCACGCCUCUUCCCAAAUUUACUCUCAAAGACUGCAUGUUGUCAGCUCAAAAUUGGCCACGAUGGGCAUCUUUACACCAUGGAAAUUGGCAGAUGCUAAAAAUAAGGACUUUUUCCCUCCCUUUUCAGAAAGUUGGCUGUUAAAUAUUUACCAACACACUGCUAUAUGCAGCCUGCAGUGGGGUGGGAUGAGGCAGGUGUGGGGGAUUUAAGAAAGGUUCCCCAGAGGAGAUACUUUCUGACUCUUGCAGAAUAAAAAUCUAGAAAAGGAGAGAAAAAACAUCCCCCCUACCCUAGCCAAAGAAGGAAAUUAAUAUGCAAAGCACCAGAGGAAUGGGAAAACCUGUAUUUUAUUUAAGAAACUGCAAGGAGCUGAGUGUAGCUGGAAUGUGUGAUGCUGUGGAAGAAGGAAGUUUUGAGGAGGCCACGGCACCAAAUCAUGACCCCAAAUUGAGCAAGAUCUGGGUCUAUGCUCAAGGGAUUCGACUGUAGAUCCAGUGGAGAAGGAGGGAGGGAGCUGCUUCUGAAUUGUCCACAGUACUGGCCUAGGUAAGAGAUGGAAGUGUGAGCUAAUAAAUGUUUUUAGAAGGAGUUUCGCUCUUGUUGCCCAGGCUAGAGUGCAAUGGCUCAAUCUUAACUCACCGCAACCUUCGCCUCCCAGGUUCAAGCGAUUCUCCGGCCUCAGCCUCCCGAGUAGCUGGGACUACAGGCAUGCGCCAGUAUGCCUGGCUAAUUUUGUAUUUUUGGUAGAGACGGGGUUUCUCCAUGUUGGUCAGGCUGGUCUCAAACUCCCGACCUCAGGUGAUCCGCCUGCCUCGGCCUCCCAAAGUGCUGGGAUUACAGGCGUGAGCCACUGUGCCCAGGUGCUAAUAAAUGCUUAAUACCAGGGUCUCUGGGGGGAAAAGAGCCCUAAUUAAUAGCAUUUGCUAAUUUCUGAGGUGUAAAUACUCCCAUCACAGCCUGUUUGAAGCUACCUUGGUGAGGUCACUAAACACCAAGUUGAGAAGAGGUGCUUGGUAGCGUGUCAUUAUAUUGAAUUUCCACCCCCACACUUACAGUAGAUGUAAAUAACUUCAAGCCUAUAGAAAACAGUAAAAUAUAGUAAAAUAACUUGAAAGAGAUGAGUUUGGGGUAUGUAUCACUUUUACUUUUAAUAUAACUGACCUAAUUGUAAGUUUACACAAUUAAAGUUUUAAUAAUGGCUUGUUUAACAGCAGCUCACACGAUUCUUGAAAAUUUAGCCGUCUGUCCUCUUGAGCUUAUUCCAGGUUUCUCCCCCUGGGAGAAGGGAUUUUGGUCCAUUUCUAUGGAAGUGCUGGGGGCUCUCAGAUGUCCUGGGCUUCAUUUUACUAACCCGAGGGACUAGAGCAGGUUUACCAUGAAGUCCUAAGGAUCCCACACAUCCAAGACUCUGGGUGGCUUCCUGGGAUAAGGCAGCAGUCCCCAGGACACCAAAGUUAAGAGCAAAUGCUUCUCAGAGAGAUUUUCAUCCAGGAAAAAGAACAGUGUGAUGCCAGCUUUGGCAUAAUAUUUCAUGUCCUCAUCAGCUGUUCACUUCAAGAAUGCUGUUUUAUUCGGAAGCCA